UGCAAGUCGAACGGCAGCGCGGGGCAACCUGGCGGCGAGUGGCGAACGGGUGAGUAAUAUAUCGGAACGUACCCUGGAGUGGGGGAUAACGUAGCGAAAGUUACGCUAAUACCGCAUACGAUCUAAGGAUGAAAGUGGGGGAUCGCAAGACCUCAUGCUCCUGGAGCGGCCGAUAUCUGAUUAGCUAGUUGGUAGGGUAAAAGCCUACCAAGGCAUCGAUCAGUAGCUGGUCUGAGAGGACGACCAGCCACACUGGAACUGAGACACGGUCCAGACUCCUACGGGAGGCAGCAGUGGGGAAUUUUGGACAAUGGGCGCAAGCCUGAUCCAGCAAUGCCGCGUGAGUGAAGAAGGCCUUCGGGUUGUAAAGCUCUUUUGUCAGGGAAGAAAAGGGUGCGGCUAAUAUCUGCGCCUCAUGACGGUACCUGAAGAAUAAGCACCGGCUAACUACGUGCCAGCAGCCGCGGUAAUACGUAGGGUGCAAGCGUUAAUCGGAAUUACUGGGCGUAAAGCGUGCGCAGGCGGUUUUGUAAGACUGUCGUGAAAUCCCCGGGCUCAACCUGGGAAUGGCGAUGGUGACUGCAAGGCUAGAGUUUGGCAGAGGGGGGGUAGAAUUCCACGUGUAGCAGUGAAAUGCGUAGAUAUGUGGAGGAACACCGAUGGCGAAGGCAGCCCCCUGGGUCAAAACUGACGCUCAUGCACGAAAGCGUGGGGAGCAAACAGGAUUAGAUACCCUGGUAGUCCACGCCCUAAACGAUGUCUACUAGUUGUCGGGUCUUAAUUAACUUGGUAACGCAGCUAACGCG
rnacentral:rRNA from 1 species